rnacentral:rRNA from 1 species
UACAGAGGUGGCAAGCGUUGUUCGGAAUUACUGGGCGUAAAGGGCGCGUAGGCGGCCUGUUAAGUCGGACGUGAAAUCCCUCGGCUCAACCGGGGAACUGCGUCCGAUACUGGCGGGCUUGAAUUCGGGAGAGGUGAGUGGAAUUCCUGGUGUAGCGGUGAAAUGCGUAGAUAUCGGGAAGAACACCAGUGGCGAAAGCGCUCUACUGGGCCAUAACUGACACUGAGGGACGAAAGCUAGGGGAGCGAAAGGG